UCCCUGGUGGCUCAGAGGUUAAAGAGUCUGCCUGCAAUGCAGGAGACCUGAGUUCAAUCCUUGGGCUGGGAA
rnacentral:tRNA from 1 species